ACUCCUACGGGAGGCAGCAGUGGGGAAUAUUGCACAAUGGGGGAAACCCUGAUGCAGCCAUGCCGCGUGUGUGAAGAAGGCCUUCGGGUUGUAAAGCACUUUCAGUAGGGAGGAAGGUAGUGUAGUUAACACUUGCAUUAUUUGACGUUACCUACAGAAGAAGCACCGGCUAACUCCGUGCCAGCAGCCGCGGUAAUACGGAGGGUGCGAGCGUUAAUCGGAAUUACUGGGCGUAAAGCGCAUGCAGGCGGCCUGUUAAGUCAGAUGUGAAAGCCCGGGGCUUAACCUCGGAAUUGCAUUUGAAACUGGCAGGCUAGAGUCUUGUAGAGGGGGGUAGAAUUUCAGGUGUAGCGGUGAAAUGCGUAGAGA
rnacentral:rRNA from 1 species